ACAUUGGUGGUUCAGUGGUAAGAUUCUGCCUUCCAUGCAGGGGACCAGGGUUCGAGUCCCAGCCAAUGGA
rnacentral:tRNA from 1 species